rnacentral:misc_RNA from 1 species
CUUAUUUUAAACAUAUGUUUUAAUUUAAAAACUUCAUAUUAAUUUAAAUUUAUUAUAUAAUAAUUUAGUGAUAUGAUAGGUGUAUAUCUUUAAUAUCAUUACAAACUAAGCAAAAUCACUUCAUUAUAUUGUAUUUUCUAAAGUGUUUUAGUUAGGUCACCUCCCACUUUAAUAAAUCAAGAAAAAUAAUUAGAUUAAUAAUGGGUAGGCCACUUACUAAUUAACACCACACAAAAAAAUGCUUCAAAUAUUAAAGAUAAG